GGGUUGUGAGGUUAAGCGACUAAGCGUACACGGUGGAUGCCCUGGCAGUCAGAGGCGAUGAAGGACGUGCUAAUCUGCGAUAAGCGUCGGUGAGGUGAUAUGAACCGUUAUAACCGGCGAUUUCCGAAUGGGGAAACCCAGUGUGUUUCGACACACUAUCAUUAACUGAAUCCAUAGGUUAAUGAGGCGAACCGGGGGAACUGAAACAUCUAAGUACCCCGAGGAAAAGAAAUCAACCGAGAUUCCCCCAGUAGCGGCGAGCGAACGGGGAGGAGCCCAGAGCCUGAAUCAGUGUGUGUGUUAGUGGAAGCGUCUGGAAAGGCGCGCGAUACAGGGUGACAGCCCCGUACACAAAAAUGCACAUAUUGUGAGCUCGAUGAGUAGGGCGGGACACGUGGUAUCCUGUCUGAAUAUGGGGGGACCAUCCUCCAAGGCUAAAUACUCCUGACUGACCGAUAGUGAACCAGUACCGUGAGGGAAAGGCGAAAAGAACCCCGGCGAGGGGAGUGAAAAAGAACCUGAAACCGUGUACGUACAAGCAGUGGGAGCCUCUUUUAUGGGGUGACUGCGUACCUUUUGUAUAAUGGGUCAGCGACUUAUAUUCUGUAGCAAGGUUAACCGAAUAGGGGAGCCGAAGGGAAACCGAGUCUUAACUGGGCGUUAAGUUGCAGGGUAUAGACCCGAAACCCGGUGAUCUAGCCAUGGGCAGGUUGAAGGUUGGGUAACACUAACUGGAGGACCGAACCGACUAAUGUUGAAAAAUUAGCGGAUGACUUGUGGCUGGGGGUGAAAGGCCAAUCAAACCGGGAGAUAGCUGGUUCUCCCCGAAAGCUAUUUAGGUAGCGCCUCGUGAAUUCAUCUCCGGGGGUAGAGCACUGUUUCGGCAAGGGGGUCAUCCCGACUUACCAACCCGAUGCAAACUGCGAAUACCGGAGAAUGUUAUCACGGGAGACACACGGCGGGUGCUAACGUCCGUCGUGAAGAGGGAAACAACCCAGACCGCCAGCUAAGGUCCCAAAGUCAUGGUUAAGUGGGAAACGAUGUGGGAAGGCCCAGACAGCCAGGAUGUUGGCUUAGAAGCAGCCAUCAUUUAAAGAAAGCGUAAUAGCUCACUGGUCGAGUCGGCCUGCGCGGAAGAUGUAACGGGGCUAAACCAUGCACCGAAGCUGCGGCAGCGACACUAUGUGUUGUUGGGUAGGGGAGCGUUCUGUAAGCCUGUGAAGGUGGCCUGUGAGGGUUGCUGGAGGUAUCAGAAGUGCGAAUGCUGACAUAAGUAACGAUAAAGCGGGUGAAAAGCCCGCUCGCCGGAAGACCAAGGGUUCCUGUCCAACGUUAAUCGGGGCAGGGUGAGUCGACCCCUAAGGCGAGGCCGAAAGGCGUAGUCGAUGGGAAACAGGUUAAUAUUCCUGUACUUGGUGUUACUGCGAAGGGGGGACGGAGAAGGCUAUGUUGGCCGGGCGACGGUUGUCCCGGUUUAAGCGUGUAGGCUGGUUUUCCAGGCAAAUCCGGAAAACCAAGGCUGAGGCGUGAUGACGAGGCACUACGGUGCUGAAGUGACAAAUGCCCUGCUUCCAGGAAAAGCCUCUAAGCAUCAGGUAACAUCAAAUCGUACCCCAAACCGACACAGGUGGUCAGGUAGAGAAUACCAAGGCGCUUGAGAGAACUCGGGUGAAGGAACUAGGCAAAAUGGUGCCGUAACUUCGGGAGAAGGCACGCUGAUAUGUAGGUGAAGCGACUUGCUCGUGGAGCUGAAAUCAGUCGAAGAUACCAGCUGGCUGCAACUGUUUAUUAAAAACACAGCACUGUGCAAACACGAAAGUGGACGUAUACGGUGUGACGCCUGCCCGGUGCCGGAAGGUUAAUUGAUGGGGUUAGCGGUAACGCGAAGCUCUUGAUCGAAGCCCCGGUAAACGGCGGCCGUAACUAUAACGGUCCUAAGGUAGCGAAAUUCCUUGUCGGGUAAGUUCCGACCUGCACGAAUGGCGUAAUGAUGGCCAGGCUGUCUCCACCCGAGACUCAGUGAAAUUGAACUCGCUGUGAAGAUGCAGUGUACCCGCGGCAAGACGGAAAGACCCCGUGAACCUUUACUAUAGCUUGACACUGAACAUUGAGCCUUGAUGUGUAGGAUAGGUGGGAGGCUUUGAAGUGUGGACGCCAGUCUGCAUGGAGCCGACCUUGAAAUACCACCCUUUAAUGUUUGAUGUUCUAACGUUGGCCCGUAAUCCGGGUUGCGGACAGUGUCUGGUGGGUAGUUUGACUGGGGCGGUCUCCUCCUAAAGAGUAACGGAGGAGCACGAAGGUUGGCUAAUCCUGGUCGGACAUCAGGAGGUUAGUGCAAUGGCAUAAGCCAGCUUGACUGCGAGCGUGACGGCGCGAGCAGGUGCGAAAGCAGGUCAUAGUGAUCCGGUGGUUCUGAAUGGAAGGGCCAUCGCUCAACGGAUAAAAGGUACUCCGGGGAUAACAGGCUGAUACCGCCCAAGAGUUCAUAUCGACGGCGGUGUUUGGCACCUCGAUGUCGGCUCAUCACAUCCUGGGGCUGAAGUAGGUCCCAAGGGUAUGGCUGUUCGCCAUUUAAAGUGGUACGCGAGCUGGGUUUAGAACGUCGUGAGACAGUUCGGUCCCUAUCUGCCGUGGGCGCUGGAGAACUGAGGGGGGCUGCUCCUAGUACGAGAGGACCGGAGUGGACGCAUCACUGGUGUUCGGGUUGUCAUGCCAAUGGCACUGCCCGGUAGCUAAAUGCGGAAGAGAUAAGUGCUGAAAGCAUCUAAGCACGAAACUUGCCCCGAGAUGAGUUCUCCCUGACUCCUUGAGAGUCCUGAAGGAACGUUGAAGACGACGACGUUGAUAGGCCGGGUGUGUAAGCGCAGCGAUGCGUUGAGCUAACCGGUACUAAUGAACCGUGAGGCUUAACCUUACAACGCCGAAG
rnacentral:rRNA from 1 species